CAUGCAGUCGAGCGGUAGCACAGGGAGCUUGCUCCUGGGUGACGAGCGGCGGACGGGUGAGUAAUGUCUGGGAAACUGCCUGAUGGAGGGGGAUAACUACUGGAAACGGUAGCUAAUACCGCAUAACGUCGCAAGACCAAAGAGGGGGACCUUCGGGCCUCUUGCCAUCAGACGUGCCCAGAUGGGAUUAGCUAGUAGGUGGGGUAAUAGCUCACCUAGGCGACGAUCCCUAGCUGGUCUGAGAGGAUGACCAGCCACACUGGAACUGAGACACGGUCCAGACUCCUACGGGAGGCAGCAGUGGGGAAUAUUGCACAAUGGGCGCAAGCCUGAUGCAGCCAUGCCGCGUGUAUGAAGAAGGCCUUCGGGUUGUAAAGUACUUUCAGCGAGGAGGAAGGCAUUGUGGUUAAUAACCGCAGUGAUUGACGUUACUCGCAGAAGAAGCACCGGCUAACUCCGUGCCAGCAGCCGCGGUAAUACGGAGGGUGCAAGCGUUAAUCGGAAUUACUGGGCGUAAAGCGCACGCAGGCGGUCUGUCAAGUCGGAUGUGAAAUCCCCGGGCUCAACCUGGGAACUGCAUUCGAAACUGGCAGGCUAGAGUCUUGUAGAGGGGGGUAGAAUUCCAGGUGUAGCGGUGAAAUGCGUA
rnacentral:rRNA from 1 species